UCCACCGCGAGGGGAAUCUGAAGGAAGGUGAAGGCAAAUCUCUGGUCUGACGAACAGAAACUACAUCAGGCUAUGCACAGGGGUAAGGCCGCAAAACAGGUCAAAGCCCAAUAACUGUACGGAACUGUGCAUAGUAAAUGUGGCAGAUAUGUGGAGAGAAAGAAACGUGU
rfam:Mouse gut metagenome OB1_T_BO-aaa19e09.b1, whole genome shotgun sequence.